AGUGAACGCUGGCGGCAGGCCUAACACAUGCAAGUCGAACGGCCGCACAGGAAGCUCUUGCCCUUACGGGUGGCGAGGGGCGGACGGGUGAGGCAUACAUCGGAAUCUUCUAUUUCUUGGGUGAUAUCGUAGGGAAACUGCCGCUAAUACCUCAUAUGUUCUACGGCUUAAAUCAAUAGAUCUUCGGACCUUUGGCGUCUCUAUUAGCCGAUGCCGCAUUAGCUAGUUGGCGAGGUAAAGGCCCACCAAGGCAACGAUCCGUAGCUGAGCUGAGAGGAUGAUCAGCCACACUGGAACUGAGACACGGUCCAGACUCCUACGGGAGGCAGCAGUAGGGAAUCUUCCGCAAUGGGCGCAAGCCUGAUGCAGCAACGCCGCGUGAGUGAUGAAGGUCUUCGGGUUGUAAAGCUCUGUUGUUGGGAAAGAAAAAAAGUGGAUGAAUCUACGCACGUUUUGACGGUACCCAAACAGUAAGCCCCGGCUAACUACGUG
rnacentral:rRNA from 1 species